CAGACGAUGAACACCUUUUCCACUGGUUGAUAGCAGUGGCUCACACAGCUCUGAAGAACCCUAAGAAGCAGCCUGGAGGGGAACGCUCAGUAGAACCACCAUGGAGACCGUUAAGAUAGCCUUACUCAUCUUCCUUCUAACCUCGCUCCAGCUCCUCACAACAGAUGCUUCUUGUGUUACCACACAAAAAUCAGCAGAACAUUCAACAACAGGCAAACCAUCAGAAACUACGACACCCGUCACGACUGUUCCUCUUUCCACUGUAAAGAACCUUGGUGUAAAUGUUACUGCAACCAGCGUUACUGCAACCAGUGUGACCCCAACCAGUGUGACCCCAACCAGUGUGACCCCAACCAAGAAUUCUACCUGGAAUUCUACCACAGCGCUUGCUACAUCAACAGUAACAGAAAAUACAAAAAUGUCAUCCUCACCCCAAGUCCCAGUGAAUUCCGCAUCUCCAUAUACUAAGGAUAAUGGAACACAAGGGACCCAGGCCCCAACAACUGUUACCAAGAGUGACUCACUAAACAAAACCACCAUUUCUGACCUUACCAAAAAGCUCCCAGGUUCAGAGGCUGAAAAUACAGAUCAAGAUAGAGUCAAGGACAAUAAGAAUACGGAUCAUGUCGGUACGUCCUCUACUACCAUCAUCUGUAUAGGAAUAAACUCACAUUGUCAUGAAUGGUGCUCCAUUUUCCUUGCACUGAAAAACACACAGUCCGCAAAAUAACCAUAACAUUUUAAAUGGACACAUUAUCCAGAUGACAAGUUACCUACACCAUAUAUACAAAAGUAUGUGGACACCCUUUCAAAUUAAUGGAUUCGGCUAUUUCAGCCACACCUAUUGCUGACAGGAGUAUAAGAUCGAGCACACCGCCAUGCAUUCUCCAUAGACAAACAUUGGCAGUGGAACAGCCUUAAUGAAGAGCUCAGUGACUUUCAAUAUGGCACCGUCAUAGGACACCACCUUUCCAACAAGUCACAUUUCUGCCCUGCUUAGAUCUGCCCCGAUCAACUGUAAGGGCUGUUGUAGUGAAGCAGCAAAGGGGGGGAUCAACUCCAUAUCAAUGCCCAUGAUUUUGGAAUGAGAUGUUCGACGAGCAGGUGUCCACAUACUUGAGGGUAUGUAGGGUAUUAUGCAACUAGCAUCUCCUUCUCGUGGUCAUCGAAAGUUCAGUUACCGCAUGAAUCACACUGCAGAGUAUAUGGAGCUUUACGUUAUGUUAUUGUUUUCUACCAGGUCAACAGGCUGGAGGUGAGAGACGGAAACUCCUAAAUCAAUUAAUGUAGAACCUUUAUGGACCCAUUUACCUCAGCAUCUAAUGUUCUACCACACCCACCAGAGGGUGCACACACUUCAAAUUUGACUGGGUUGUGUGUGUGUGUGUGUGUGCGUGCAUGUGCGUGUGCCAUGUUUGAUUACAAAUCAUCAUAAAUUGCCUACAUUACACAUUGUCCAAACAAUGGUACUAAUCCAACUUCUCAUGGGAUGUGAAAAACAACAGUUUUGUCUGCCACACUAAAAGAUAUACCUCCUCUUUGUCUUCAGAUAAGAACCUGCUGUGGAUUCUUUUGCCAGUCCUGGCACUUGUGGGGGCUGCUGUCGUGGCCCUUCUGAAAAGUAAAUGCAUGAAGGACCACGAUCACACAGAGAUAACUGAUAAUGGAACAGAAAAUGCCUCUUUCCAGAGCAGGCCGGACAACGCCAAAGACGGUGUCAUGCUUCUCGGGGUGAAGUCUUCAGGCGGUGAAGACAAUGCUGCUGCAAGAUAAAAGGGAGGCCAUCCCAUUUGAAAGGACCAAUGGAUGAGGACGAGCUCUUACAACCAAAAAAUGGUCCAGAUCCCUUCACCUUCAACGAUCUAAACCUUAUGGACUAUCAAAUACAGCAUCACAGAAUCACAAAAGUUACUAAAGUGGGAACAUUUGUAUAUGGUUUGUGAGUAUUGUAGGAUAUGGGGCUCUUAACUGAACACGUGUCUGUUAGAAGGUAUAGCAUGUUUUAUUAUGUAAUUCAUUGUUUUGUGUAUUCCUAUUUUGAUGGUAAUUUAGUCAAGAAGGAAUUGUGUUUUUAAUUUAAUCAAGACCAACAUACAGACAUUUUAGUCAGGAAAACGAUGCUGGAUUCUGAAUUAACAUGAAUAAAUUAACCCAAAUUCUCAUUGUCUGAGUGUAAGAUGAUUGUCUCACCCCUGUAUUCAAGAUACUGGUUUUGAUUUGAUUAAAUCACCCAAACAUGCACAAAAUCCAAAUGUACUGAACCUGAAUUCAACACACAAUUCCUCGAUUGAAACCAGUUAGUGACCAGUACACAUGGUUAACAAGUGUUUGUAUGCUUUAAAUCUGUUUAAAAUAAUUAUUUAGUUUUCAGUGUAAAUGCCAGGAUUGUAAAGAUGAGCUUUUUUACCAGUAUGUUUCCUGCUUUUGAACAAGUUAUUUUGUAUAUUAGCUGUUGCUUGUCAGAAAACUUUUGUCAAAUGUUUCCCAAGGAGGGUUGGGUUUGUUUGAAUCACAGAUGUAUGUUUCCCAAGGUGGGUUGGGUUUGUUUGAAUCACAGAUGUAUGUUUCCCAAGGAGGGUUGGGUUUGAUUAAAUCACAGAUGUAUGUUUCCCAGGGAGGGUUGGGUUUGUUUAAAUCACAGAUGUAUGUUUCCCAAGGAGGGUUGGGUUUGUUUAAAUCACAGAUGUAUGUUUCCCAAGGAGGGUUGGGUUUGAUUAAAUCACAGAUGUAUGUUUCCCAGGGAGGGUUGGGUUUGUUUAAAUCACAGAUGUAUGUUUCCCAAGGAGGGUUGGGUUUGAUUAAAUCACAGAUGUAUGUUUCCCAGGGAGGGUUGGGUUUGUUUAAAUCACAGAUGUAUGUUUCCCAAGGAGGGUUGGGUUUGUUUAAAUCACAGAUGUAUGUUUCCCAAGGAGGGUUGGGUUUGUUUAAAUCACAGAUGUAUGUUUCCCAGGGAGGGUUGGGUUUGUUUAAAUCACAGAUGUAUGUUUCCCAGGGAGGGUUGGGUUUGUUUAAAUCACAGAUGUAUGUUUCCCAGGGAGGGUUGGGUUUGUUUAAAUCACAGAUGUAUGUUUUACAACAUUUGGGGUUAAAGCAAAUAAAACUAAAUGUGUUUAUUUUUUGUAAUGGAGCAAAUCCAUAAGAUUUCCCUCUGGUCAAAGAUUAUUUGAAUUUCUCAAAUACAGAACAGCGCUGUUUUACUGAUCGGCAUUGGUUGAAUAUUUGUUGUUUUGCACCCGUACAUGCUAACAAAACAUUGGCGCCAUUAUACAAUGAAUAAAGUUCAUGUUGAUUUUAG
ensembl:lncRNA